GCCCCCCGGGCCUCUUCAAGGAGUCCCCCGACUGGGGCCCCUGUUUUGGGGGUCCGCUCCACGGAGGCACCCGUAGUCGAGAGGGGGAUGAGAAGGAAGUCGGUGGCCCAUAGGGGGAGUAGCCGUUGAGCCACCGUGGAAGAGUCCCUCUGCUCCGAAGAAGGGCUAGAGAACCCCUUCAAUGACAGGAACUUGAUCAAGCGGCU
rnacentral:lncRNA from 1 species